GGGCUUGUAGCUCAGUGGAUAGAGCGUUCGCCUCCGGAGCGAAAGGCCGUGGGUCCGAAUCCCAUCCAAGCCCACCC
rnacentral:tRNA from 1 species